AUACUUACCUGGCAGGGGAGAUACGAUGAUCACGAAGGUGGGUUUCCCAGGGUGAGGCUCAUCCAUUGCACUCUGGGUGUGCUGACCCCUGCGAUUUCCCCAAGGACGGGAAACUUGACUGCAUAAUUUGUGGUAGUGGGGGAUUGCGUUUGCGCUUUCUCCUG
rnacentral:snRNA from 1 species